rnacentral:rRNA from 1 species
GACGAACGCUGGCGGCGUGCCUAAUACAUGCAAGUAGGACGCAGUUGCGAACGGUUGAGUAAAGCGUAGGUAACUGCCUAUCAGCGGGGGAUAACUACUGGAAACGCUAGCUAAUACCGCAUACUCGUAGAUGGACCUGCGUUGUAUUAGGUAGUAGGUAGGGUAAUGGCCUAACUAGGCAACGAUACAUAGCCGACAUGAGAGGGGGUUCGGCCACACUGGGGCUGAGACACGGCACAGACUCCGAAGGGAUGCAGCAGUAGAGAAGCUUCGGCAAGGGGGGGAAACCUGACCGAGCAACGCGGCGUGAGUGAUGAAGGUUUUCGGAUCGGAAAGCUCUGUUGUUAAGGAAGCGGUACUUAACCAGAAAGGGACGGCUAACUACGUGCCAGCAGCCGCGGUAAUAC